UGGGGAAUUUUGGACAAUGGGCGAAAGCCUGAUCCAGCAAUGCCGCGUGUGUGAAGAAGGCCUUCGGGUUGUAAAGCACUUUUGUCCGGAAAGAAAUCCUUGGCUCUAAUACAGUCGGGGGAUGACGGUACCGGAAGAAUAAGCACCGGCUAACUACGUGCCAGCAGCCGCGGUAAUACGUAGGGUGCAAGCGUUAAUCGGAAUUACUGGGCGUAAAGCGUGCGCAGGCGGUUUGCUAAGACCGAUGUGAAAAUCCCCGGGCUCAACCUGGGAACUGCAUUGGUGACUGGCAGGCUAGAGUAUGGCAGAGGGGGGUAGAAUUCCACGUGUAGCAGUGAAAAUGCGUAGAGAUGUGGAGGAAUACCGAUGGCGAAGGCAGCCCCCUGGGCCAAGUAACUGACGCUCAUGCACGAAAAGCGUGGGGAGCAAACAGGAUUAGAUACCCUGGUAGUCCACGCCCUAAAACGAUGUCAACUAGUUGUUGGGGAUUCAUUUCCUUAGUAAACGUAGCUAACGCGUGAAGUUGACCGCCUGGGGAGU
rnacentral:rRNA from 1 species